AGCUACACCACGAGAUGAGGAUGGUCAUUGUCAUUUUCUGAGCUGCGAACGGGCAGAAAGCUACACAACGAGAUGAGGAUGGUCAUUGUCAUUUUCUGAGCUGGGAACGGGCAGAAAGCUACACAACGAGAUGAGGAUGGUCAUUGUCAUUUUAUGAGCUGCGAACGGGCAGAAAGCUAACCAACGAGAUGAGGAUGGUCAUUGUCAUUUUCUGAGCUGGGAACGGGCAGAAAGCUAGACAACGAGAUGAGGAUGGUCAUUGUCAUUUUCUGAGCUACGAACGGGCAGAAAG